UACAGAGGGUGCGAGCGUUAAUCGGAAUUACUGGGCGUAAAGCGCGCGUAGGCGGCUUUGCAAGUCGGGUGUGAAAUCCCCAGGCUUAACCUGGGAACUGCAUUCGAGACUGCAUUGCUAGAGUAUGGGAGAGGGAAGUGGAAUUUCCGGUGUAGCGGUGAAAUGCGUAGAUAUCGGAAGGAACAUCAGUGGCGAAAGCGACUUCCUGGACCUUUUCUGACGCUGAGGCUCGAAAGCGUGAGGAGCAAACAGG
rnacentral:rRNA from 1 species